UGCGUAGGUGGUCGGGUAAGUUUGAGGUGAAAGCUCCGGGCUCAACCCGGAAAUGGCCUCGAAUACUAUCUGGCUCGAGGGUUGGAGGGGGGACCGGGAAUUCUCGGUGUAGCAGUGAAAUGCGUAGAUAUCGAGAGGAACACCAGUGGCGAAGGCGAGUCCCUGGACAACACCUGACACUGAGGCACGAAAGCUAGGGGAGCAAAACGG
rnacentral:rRNA from 1 species